AUGGAGCCGGGUGGGGGCCUGCCACAUCCUGGGUACCCCCCGUGUCCCAGCUGUACCCCACUUUUCCAGCCCCCGCCGCUGGUGUGCGUAGGUGGUCGAUGCUUUCCUGGCUCCCACCCCUGUACAUACCCCGAGGGGAGACUGGGCAGCGCGGCCGGCACCCAGCCCGGCUUGCACACGAGUGUGCACGGGCGUGCGCGGGCGUGCAAAGCCUCCUCUGGCUUCUCUGUCCCACUCCCCUCUCGCCGCGCUGGUUGUUCUGGGCUCCAACGGAGCCUGAGGAGGAGACGAGUCUUCUCCUUCUUGUUCCUCUCCUCCUCCUCCUUCUUCCUCUCCUUGUUUUUCUUCUUCUCCUUCUUGUUCCUCUUCUUUCUUCUUCUCUUUCUUCCUCCUCCUCUUCUUCUUCUUCUCCUUCUUGUUCCUCUUCUUUCUUCUUGUUGUUCCUCUUCUUUCUUCUUGUUGUUCCUCUUCUUUCUUCUCCUUCUUGUUCCUCUCCUCCUCCUCCUUCUUCCUCCUCCUCUUCUUCUUCUUCUCCUUCUUGUUCCUCUUCUUUCUUCUUCUCUUUCUUGUUCCUCUUCUUUCUUCUUCUCUUUCUUCCUCCUCUUCUUCUUCUUCUCCUUCUUGUUCCUCUUCUUGCUUCUCUUUCUUUCUCCUCCUCCUCCUCUUCUUAUUCUUCUUGUUCCUCUUCUUUCUUCUCUUUCUUCCUCCUCCUCCUCCUCUUCUUCUUCUCCUUGUUCUUCUUCUGUCUUCAACUUUUUCUUCUUCUCCUUAUUCCUCCUCCUCUUCUUCUUGUUCCUCUUCUUUUUUUUUGUUCUUCUCCUUCUUCUCCUCCUCUUCUUCUUCUCUUCUUGUCCCUCUUCUUUCUUCUUCUUUUUCUUCUCUUUCCUCCUCCUCUUCUUCAUUUUCUUCUUCUUCUUCUUCUUUUUCUUCUCUUUCUUCCUCCUCUUCUCCUCCUUCUUCUCAUCCUUCUCCUCCUCUUUCUCCUUCUUUCUCCUUUCUCUUCCUUCCUUCUCCUUCUCCUUCUCCUUCUCCUUCUCCUUCUCCUUCUCCUUCUCCUUCUCCUUCUCCUUCUCCUUCUCCUUCUCCUUCUCCUUCUCCUUCUCCUUCUCCUUCUCCUUCUCCUCCCUCUUUCUUCCUUCCUUCUCCUUCUCCUUCUCCUUCUCCUUCUCCUUCUCCUUCUCCUUCUCCUUCUCCUUCUCCUUCUCCUUCUCCUUCUCCUUCUCCUUCUCCUUCUCCUUCUCCUUCUCCUUCUCCUUCUCCUUCUCCUUCUCCUUCUCCUUCUCCUUCUCCUUCUCCUUCUCCUUCUCCUUCUCCUUCUCCUUCUCCUUCUCCUUCUCCUUCUCCUUCUCCUUCUCCUUCUCCUUCUCCUUCUCCUUCUCCUUCUCCUUCUCCUUCUCCUUCUCCUCCCUCUUUAUUAUUAUUAUUAAUUUUUUUUUUUGGUGGGUUUGGUUUUCCUAAAUAAAUUUCAUACGUCGAUCUCCCCGCGGCGGGUCGGUGGGUGCCUCGUGUCGGGUGUCCUCCUGGGGGACGCUCUGGAGGGGGGGUCAUCCCCAAGGAGGUGCAACAUCACCAGGGAAGGUUUGGGGGUGCAAGGGGACCCCAGGUCACCCCCAGGCCCUGUCACGGCCCUGCUGGAGAGCAGGUGACUUCAGCUGAGAUUUACACCCCCAAAACCACCCUCUGGGGUUGGGGGGCUCCAUCUCAGGCCAGGAGGCUCCAAGCCCCCUGGGAUGCUCCAGUUCCACCCCAGAUGCUCCAACCUCCCCAGUAUGCUCCAGUCCCCCCAGUGCCCUGUUCUUUCCUGGA
rnacentral:lncRNA from 1 species